AUACGUAGGGUCCGAGCGUUGUCCGGAUUUACUGGGCGUAAAGGGUGCGUAGGCGGUCUGUUAAGUCUCAUGUGAAAUCUCCCGGCUCAACUGGGAGGGGUCAUGGGAUACUGGCAGGCUUGAGGGCAGUAGAGGAGAGCGGAAUUCCGGGAGUAGCGGUGAUAUGCGUAGAUACCCGGAGGAACACCAGAGGCGAAAGCGGCUCUCUGGGCUGUCCCUGACGCUGAGGCACGAAAGCGUGGGGAGCAAACCGGAUUAGAAACCCCAGUAGUCC
rnacentral:rRNA from 1 species